GCCGACACAUUUUUUUUAUCCUCUGGACAAACGCACGUUUUAAUUCGCCGCUUGGAAUACCAACGGAUUCCCACUGAACCUCCAUGUUGUAAACUGGCUACACAUGUAUGUCUUUUAUCUGACGGUGUUUAUAACUCGAACGAGCAUUUUUUAUUUGAACUCUUACUACAAGUACUAGCAAUAUGGGAAAGAAAGAGGUAGUCUAUGGUAUUCGUAUUUUCCAUGUCAAUCUGCUGUCUAAAAAGAUCUAUCAGUCUGGACGCCUCUCCUCCAAUCAAAACUCCGUACGUGAAAUCAUGCUGGAUGACCUUGCUAAUCUUGAAUUUCGACUUGAAAAAGAGGCUUUUAUAGAAGAAUGCUGUGUGAAUGUCGACCAUUGCUGCUUCGAUUUGACCGUUUUCUAGAGCACUGAAUAAUGGUUCCAGAUUCUGCAUGGAGAUUCUCCGUGACUACAGUAACGAUUAAUGAUGACGUCAACGCACUGGUCAAUAAGGAGCUUAAUAUUAUGCCCAUCAGUGACCAUACGACUGCAAACAGACGAGCUGGGAUGGAUUUCGGAACUCGAUCACCAUAUCUAUGCAAGAAAAGCUUUAAGAAUAACACCAAACAACACCAGCAAAGACUGAAAUUUAGAAUCGUUUCUGAGAGCAGAAAAAUUCAUUAUUUUCCCCUCUGUGUCAGCUACAAUAGAUUUAUUGUUAAAGUUAGAUUUUCCAAGGAACGGAUUAUUUACAUGCACAAAUGACAUUAUUGAUUUGUAAGGAAGUAAGUAACCUCACCCAACAGUUGUCAUAGUAACAAAAGACCACCAAAACGCUUCUUGGAUUCCCUUGAAGAAGGGCAGAGGGAAAUGAAGUUGAUUGUUAGAGGAUUCCUGUGUCAAAUACGAAAGGAUUGUGGUCAACACAAGCACUGACUUGGAUUCCUUAUUCAUAACUUAUAAUGAAGCGUUAUCUUGAUUUU
rnacentral:misc_RNA from 1 species